rnacentral:rRNA from 1 species
CCUACGGGAUGCAGCAGUGAGGAAUAUUGGUCAAUGGACGCAAGUCUGAACCAGCCAUGCCGCGUGCAGGAAGACUGCUCUAUGAGUUGUAAACUGCUUUUGUACGAGGAUAAACGCAGAUACGCGUAUCUGUCUGAAAGUAUCAUACGAAUAAGGAUCGGCUAACUCCGUGCCAGCAGCCGCGGUAAUACGGAGGAUUCAAGCGUUAUCCGGAUUUAUUGGGUUUAAAGGGUGCGUAGGCGGUCGGAUAAGUUAGAUGUGAAAUCCCGAGGCUCAACUUCGGAAUUGCCUCUGAUACUGGUAGGCUAGAGUGUAGUUGAGGUAGGCGGAAUUUGUGGUGUAGCGGUGAAAUGCUUAGAGAUCAUACAGAACACCGAUUGCGAAGGCAGCUUACCAAGCUACUUCUGACGUUGAGGCACGAAAGCGUGGGGAGCAAACAGGAUUAGAUACCCCAGUAGUC